ACUGAACGCUGGCGGCAUGCCUUACACAUGCAAGUCGAACGGUAACAGGUCUUCGGAUGCUGACGAGUGGCGAACGGGUGAGUAAUACAUCGGAACGUGCCUAGUAGUGGGGGAUAACUACUCGAAAGAGUGGCUAAUACCGCAUGAGAUCUACGGAUGAAAGCAGGGGAUCGCAAGACCUUGUGCUAAUAGAGCGGCCGAUGGCAGAUUAGGUAGUUGGUGGGUUAAAAGCUUACCAAGCCGACGAUCUGUAGCUGGUCUGAGAGGACGAUCAGCCACACUGGGACUGAGACACGGCCCAGACUCCUACGGGAGGCAGCAGUGGGGAAUUUUGGACAAUGGGCGAAAGCCUGAUCCAGCAAUGCCGCGUGCAGGAUGAAGGCCUUCGGGUUGUAAACUGCUUUUGUACGGAACGAAAAGCCCCGGGUUAAUACCCUGGGGUCAUGACGGUACCGUAAGAAUAAGCACCGGCUAACUACGUGCCAGCAGCCGCCGCGG
rnacentral:rRNA from 1 species